UACGGAGGAUGCAAGCGUUAUCCGGAAUGAUUGGGCGUAAAGCGUCCGCAGGUGGCUAUGUAAGUCUGCUGUUAAAGAGUGAGGCUCAACCUCAUAAGAGCAGUGGAAACUACAUGGCUAGAGUGCGUUCGGGGCAGAGGGAAUUCCUGGUGUAGCGGUGAGAUGCGUAGAGAUCCGGAAGAACACCGGUGGCGAAGGCGGCCUGCUGGGUUCUGGCUGACACUGAGGCGCGACAGCGUGGGGAGCAAACAGG
rnacentral:rRNA from 1 species